rnacentral:tRNA from 1 species
GGCAGGCCUGGGGCAAUGCACUCUGUGGCAGUUCAAUCUGCUGGUCAUGAGCAGGGGCGCGCGCAGACUGUAAAUCUGCCGGCUCAGCCUUCCCAGGUUCGAAUCCUGGCGCCGCCA